rnacentral:rRNA from 1 species
GGGUUGUGAGGUUAAGCGACUAAGCGUACACGGUGGAUGCCCUGGCAGUCAGAGGCGAUGAAGGACGUGCUAAUCUGCGAAAAGCGCCGGCGAGGUGAUAUGAACCCUUGACCCGGCGAUGUCCGAAUGGGGAAACCCAGUGUGAUUCGUCACACUAUCGUUAGCUGAAUACAUAGGCUAACGAGGCGAACCGGGGAACUGAAACAUCUAAGUACCCCGAGGAAAAGAAAUCAACCGAGAUUCCCCCAGUAGCGGCGAGCGAACGGGGAGCAGCCCGGAGUCUGAAUCAGCUUGUGUGUUAGUGGAAGCGUCUGGAAAGUCGCAGGGUACAGGGUGAUACUCCCGUACACGAAAGCACACUUGCUGUGAACUCGAAGAGUAGGGCGGGACACGUGGUAUCCUGUCUGAAUAUGGGGGGACCAUCCUCCAAGGCUAAAUACUCCUGACUGACCGAUAGUGAACCAGUACCGUGAGGGAAAGGCGAAAAGAACCCCGGCGAGGGGAGUGAAAAAGAACCUGAAACCGUGUACGUACAAGCAGUGGGAGCACCUUCGGGUGUGACUGCGUACCUUUUGUAUAAUGGGUCAGCGACUUAUAUUCUGUAGCAAGGUUAACCGUAUAGGGGAGCCGAAGGGAAACCGAGUCUUAACUGGGCGUUAAGUUGCAGGGUAUAGACCCGAAACCCGGUGAUCUAGCCAUGGGCAGGUUGAAGGUUGGGUAACACUAACUGGAGGACCGAACCGACUAAUGUUGAAAAAUUAGCGGAUGACCUGUGGCUGGGGGUGAAAGGCCAAUCAAACCGGGAGAUAGCUGGUUCUCCCCGAAAGCUAUUUAGGUAGCGCCUCGUGAAUUCAUCUCCGGGGUAGAGCACUGUUUCGGCUAGGGGGCCAUCCCGGCUUACCAACCCGAUGCAAACUGCGAAUACCGGAGAAUGUUAUCACGGGAGACACACGGCGGGUGCUAACGUCCGUCGUGAAGAGGGAAACAACCCAGACCGCCAGCUAAGGUCCCAAAGUCAUGGUUAAGUGGGAAACGAUGUGGGAAGGCACAGACAGCCAGGAUGUUGGCUUAGAAGCAGCCAUCAUUUAAAGAAAGCGUAAUAGCUCACUGGUCGAGUCGGCCUGCGCGGAAGAUGUAACGGGGCUAAACCAUGCACCGAAGCUGCGGCAGCGACACUAUGUGUUGUUGGGUAGGGGAGCGUUCUGUAAGCCUGCGAAGGUGUGCCGUGAGGCAUGCUGGAGGUAUCAGAAGUGCGAAUGCUGACAUAAGUAACGAUAAAGCGGGUGAAAAGCCCGCUCGCCGGAAGACCAAGGGUUCCUGUCCAACGUUAAUCGGGGCAGGGUGAGUCGACCCCUAAGGCGAGGCCGAAAGGCGUAGUCGAUGGGAAACAGGUUAAUAUUCCUGUACUCGGUGUUACUGCGAAGGGGGACGGAGAAGGCUAUGUUGGCCGGGCGACGGUUGUCCCGGUUUAAGCAUGUAGGCGGAGGUUCCAGGUAAAUCCGGUACCUUUUAACGCUGAGGUGUGAUGACGAGGCACUACGGUGCUGAAGCAACAAAUGCCCUGCUUCCAGGAAAAGCCUCUAAGCAUCAGGUAACAUCAAAUCGUACCCCAAACCGACACAGGUGGUCAGGUAGAGAAUACCAAGGCGCUUGAGAGAACUCGGGUGAAGGAACUAGGCAAAAUGGUGCCGUAACUUCGGGAGAAGGCACGCUGAUAUGUAGGUGAAGCCCCUGCGGGUGGAGCUGAAAUCAGUCGAAGAUACCAGCUGGCUGCAACUGUUUAUUAAAAACACAGCACUGUGCAAACACGAAAGUGGACGUAUACGGUGUGACGCCUGCCCGGUGCCGGAAGGUUAAUUGAUGGGGUUAGCGGCAACGCGAAGCUCUUGAUCGAAGCCCCGGUAAACGGCGGCCGUAACUAUAACGGUCCUAAGGUAGCGAAAUUCCUUGUCGGGUAAGUUCCGACCUGCACGAAUGGCGUAAUGAUGGCCAGGCUGUCUCCACCCGAGACUCAGUGAAAUUGAAAUCGCUGUGAAGAUGCAGUGUACCCGCGGCAAGACGGAAAGACCCCGUGAACCUUUACUAUAGCUUGACACUGAACACUGGUCCUUGAUGUGUAGGAUAGGUGGGAGGCUUUGAAGUGUGGACGCCAGUCUGCAUGGAGCCGUCCUUGAAAUACCACCCUUUAAUGGCUGGUGUUCUAACGUGGACCCGUAAUCCGGGUUGCGGACAGUGUCUGGUGGGUAGUUUGACUGGGGCGGUCUCCUCCUAAAGAGUAACGGAGGAGCACGAAGGUCAGCUAAUCCUGGUCGGACAUCAGGAGGUUAGUGCAAUGGCAUAAGCUGGCUUGACUGCGAGAGUGACGGCUCGAGCAGGUGCGAAAGCAGGUCAUAGUGAUCCGGUGGUUCUGAAUGGAAGGGCCAUCGCUCAACGGAUAAAAGGUACUCCGGGGAUAACAGGCUGAUACCGCCCAAGAGUUCAUAUCGACGGCGGUGUUUGGCACCUCGAUGUCGGCUCAUCACAUCCUGGGGCUGAAGUAGGUCCCAAGGGUAUGGCUGUUCGCCAUUUAAAGUGGUACGCGAGCUGGGUUUAGAACGUCGUGAGACAGUUCGGUCCCUAUCUGCCGUGGGCGCUGGAGAAUUGAGGGGGGCUGCUCCUAGUACGAGAGGACCGGAGUGGACGCAUCACUGGUGUUCGGGUUGUCAUGCCAAUGGCACUGCCCGGUAGCUAAAUGCGGAAGAGAUAAGUGCUGAAAGCAUCUAAGCACGAAACUUGCCCCGAGAUGAGUUCUCCCUGACCCUUUAAGGGUCCUGAAGGAACGUUGAAGACGACGACGUUGAUAGGCCGGGUGUGUAAGCGCAGCGAUGCGUUGAGCUAACCGGUACUAAUGAACCGUGAGGCUUAACCUUACAACGCCGAAGCUGUU